ensembl:lncRNA
CUCAUAAAACUACAUUUACAGCAGAAUGAAUUAGGUCUCAUAAAACUACAUUUACAGCAGAAUGAAUUAGGUCUCAUAAAACUACAUUUACAGUAGAAUGAAUUAGGUCUCAUAACACUAAAUUUACAGCAGAAUUAAUUUGGUCACAUAAAACUACAUUUACAGCAGAAUGAAUUAGGUCUCAUAAAACUACAUUUAUAGCAGAAUUAAUUUGGUCUCAUAAAACUACAUUUACAGCAGAAUGAAUUAGGUCUCAUAAAACUACAUUUACAGCAGAAUGAAUUAGGUCUCAUAAAACUACAUUUACAGCAGAAUGAAUUAGA